UGAGCGGGCUGAAUGGUCGCGCCGCUGACUUUUGUCGGGGUGAGGAAAGUCCGGGCUUCACAGGGCAGGAUGCCAGAUAACGUCUGGCGGGAGCGAUCCCAGGACCAGUGCAACAGAAAUAUACCGCCCGAAAGGGUAAGGGUGAAAUGGCAGUGUAAGAGACUACCGCCUUGCUGGUAACAGGAAGGGCACAUGUAAACUCCAUCCGAAGCAAGACCAAACAGGAAGCUGUGAGGCGGCCCGCUGAGCUUCCGGGUAGGUCGCGUAGAACUUGCCGGUGACGGCAAGACAAGAUAGAUGACCAUUUUCAACAGAACCCGGCUUACGGGCCCGCUCAUAAA
rnacentral:RNase_P_RNA from 1 species